rnacentral:lncRNA from 1 species
UGUUUAAAUUUAAAAAAAAUACAUUGUUUAAGAAAGCUGGGCCAUCCAAGAAUCUUCAAAUCUCAGGUGUAUAUACAUAAAACAACGCGAUCAUGCUCUCCCUUCAGGAAUUAAAUCUACAUGAUCCAGCAAAAUGAACCAAAAUUACAAGUAUUAUCCUUCACCACACAAAAAUAAGCAUAAUUGCCUUUUACCAAUAAAGUAGCAUGCAUAGGUGCUCAAUGCUUAAUUGACAGUCUAGAAGGGCUGCUCGGCAAGCAUUAACAUACAACACAUAAUAAAUUGAGUUCUGUGAAACACUGCAUUGCAAGGACUGAGAAGUCCUAUAGUAGUAGCUUAGAUGUAAAUACUGCAAUUUCUUGAAAAUACACUACUCGUGCAGGCUGGUAAUCAUGUCGUGGCAAGUAAAUCACGUGGAGGGUUCGCUGUCAAGGCGAAUCCUCUUGGUACCAACCUCGUCAGCAGCCGGCACCCUAUUCUCCUUUGCUUCCACCGAGCACCUCUUGUAAGGUUUGAAGCCUGUCCGGCGGG